GGCUGACGCGGCUCCUCACCAGGGGCAUGCUCCAGGGUGAUGUGAGGCUUGCAAACUUCGGGCUUAAUGGAGAUGAUCAGUUGCUUGAGCAUAAAUGAAUCACCCACUCAUGGCGACCGAGGCACUGAACCAUAUUACACUUGUGUGCUCAAACCAACUGAGCUUAAUUCAUAUAUGUAAAUAUUUAAGAAUGUGAGGACGAUGCCCAAUUGACAAGGAUUGCAAUACUGUAUGAAUCAUUUGGAGAUGGGUUGUAGAUAUUAAGCUAUGUAAGAGAUGAUUUUAAGGUCGACUUGUGAUAUGACAAGCGGAUCACGGUGUCACGGAAUGAGCAAUUAGAGAAC